GACGUAGGGCGCGAGCGUUGUCCGGAUUUAUUGGGCGUAAAGAGCUCGUAGGCGGCUUGUCGCGUCGACUGUGAAACCCGACGGCUCAACCCGUGUGGUCUGCAGUCGAUACGGGGCAGGCGUAGAGUUCGGUAGGGGGAGACUGGAAUUCCUGGUGUAGCGGGUGAAAUGCGCAGAUAAUCAGGAGGGAACACCGGUGG
rnacentral:rRNA from 1 species